GAUGAACGCUGGCGGCGUGCUUAACACAUGCAAGUCGAACGGAAAGGCUCCUGCUUGCAGGGGUACUCGAGUGGCGAACGGGUGAGUAACACGUGGGUGAUCUGCCCUGCACUUCGGGAUAAGCCUGGGAAACUGGGUCUAAUACCGGAUAGGACGAUGGUUUGGAUGCCAUUGUGGAAAGUUUUUUCGGUGUGGGAUGAGCUCGCGGCCUAUCAGCUUGUUGGUGGGGUAAUGGCCUACCAAGGCGUCGACGGGUAGCCGGCCUGAGAGGGUGUACGGCCAUAUUGGGACUGAGAUACGGCCCAGACUCCUACGGGAGGCAGCAGUGGGGAAUAUUGCACAAUGGGCGCAAGCCUGAUGCAGCGACGCCGCGUGGGGGAUGACGGCCUUCGGGUUGUAAACUCCUUUCGCUAGGGACGAAGCGCAAGUGACGGUACCUGGAGAAGAAGCACCGGCUAACUACGUG
rnacentral:rRNA from 1 species